rnacentral:rRNA from 1 species
UACGAAGGGGGCUAGCGUUGUUCGGAAUUACUGGGCGUAAAGCGCACGUAGGCGGAUUUGUAAGUCAGGGGUGAAAUCCCGGGGCUCAACCUCGGAACUGCCUUUGAUACUGCAAGUCUUGAGUCCGAUAGAGGUGAGUGGAAUUCCUAGUGUAGAGGUGAAAUUCGUAGAUAUUAGGAAGAACACCAGUGGCGAAGGCGGCUCACUGGAUCGGUACUGACGCUGAGGUGCGAAAGCGUGGGGAGCAAACCGG